rnacentral:rRNA from 1 species
CCUACGGGAGGCAGCAGUGAGGAAUAUUGGUCAAUGGCCGGAAGGCUGAACCAGCCAAGCCGCGUGAAGGCCGAAGGUGCCAAGCAUUGUAAACUUCUUUUGUCAAGGGGCAAAAUCAGGCUCGAGAGCCUGUUCGAGGGUAAUUGAAGAAUAAGCAUCGGCUAACUCCGUGCCAGCAGCCGCGGUAAUACGGAGGAUUCGAGCGUUAUCCGGCUUUAUUGGGUUUAAAGGGUGCGGAGGCGGUGCGUUAAGUCAGCGGGUAAACCCCGGGGCUCAACCCCGGCAGGGCCGUUGAAACUGGCUGGCUAGAGAUGACGUGAGGUAUGCGGAAUGCGCGGUGUAGCGGUGAAAUGCAUAGAGAUUGCGCAGAACUCCGAUUGCGAAGGCAGCAUACCAGCGGCGAUCUGACGCUGAGGCACGAAAGCGUGGGUAGCGAACAGGAUUAGAUACCCGGGUAGUC